GAAUCAAUAUCAGAUGCAGAAAGGACAAGACAAUGGAAUUAAAACAUUCAAAAUUCUUUUCAGUACUUCCAGAUGCCAAUAGCAGAGACGUACUGACAUGAAAACCUCAACAAAAAAGUUCUUGCAAAGCAUCUGAAUUGCCUACAGUGAUAUCACCCAAGGCUGUUGUCUUGCUUGAUUUUUAUUAACCAAGGAGAGUUUGACUACAUCAGCAAUCGUACAGAAGCCCUCCAGGUGAAUGAACUGGAAACUUAAAUUGAUCUUUCUCUUUCUUUUUCUUAAAACUUAAAUAUUCCUCUUUUUCAUCUGAAAAAAAAAAAAAAGAUUCGUAAAUGCAGAACAUGUUGAAAAAAUCACAUUUAUAGUCCCAAAUUUUCUUACUCCUAAGAAUGAGAAGUACAUUCAGAUAUAAAAUUUAUUUCUUUUUAUUCCCACAUUUAUUUCUUAAUUUUUUUAAUGCAUUGCUUGAUUACAGUUAUGGUCUCACUUGUUUUUCUGUUUGCUUCCUUCCAGUUGAUGUAUUUUGAGGCCUGGUUUUGGUGUCCUCCUUAUUAAAGCUAAACAAGUUCAAGCAUAGUACCAGUGUAAUGGUAAUGGAUAAAUGAAGCAUCAAAGUGUGGCAUGCUGAAUGUGUUAAAAUUCAUUCCUCGAGUUAAAAAUAAAUGCAGCUACUAUUUCCAUAAGUGCAUGUAUAAUAAAAAUGGCACCCCAAAGAUUGUUAACAUGGAGAGCAAAUUAGGUGAGCCAACGUUUACUGGCAUGGGAGCUGUACUGAUUAUGGUAAUUUUCAUCUCAUGUGCAAAGCCAAUCAAUAUAUCACUGAUAAAACUUUUUGCCAUCUAACUGUUAUUUACAGGAGUUCAGAACUUCCAUUAUUUUGUAGAAACACUGAAAGCUGAUUAUCGUUUUCACUUUCUGGUGCUAAAUCUACAUAUACAUUGUUUUCAUCUGUACAGUUUUAGUGUUUAAUUCCAGUAAAUAAAACAGCAUAGCAAG
rnacentral:lncRNA from 7 species